CGGUUGAUCCUGCCGGACCCGACUGCUAUCGGGGUGGGACUUAGCCAUGCAAGUCGUGGACCCCAGGCCAUGGUGAGGUCCGGCGCACGGCUCAGUAACACGUGGCUAACCUACCCUCGGGACGGGGAUAACCCCGGGAAACUGGGGCUAAUACCCGAUAGGAGAGAGCACCUGGAAUGGGCUCUCUCCGAAAGGGGUACAACGCCAUGCCCGUUGUACCCGCCCGAGGAUGGGGUUGCGGCCUAUCAGGUAGUUGGCGGGGUAACGGCCCGCCAAGCCGAUAACGGGUAGGGGCCGUGGGAGCGGGAGCCCCGAGAUGGGCACUGAGACAAGGGCCCAGGUCCUACGGGGUGCAGCAGGCGCGAAACCUCCGCAAUGCGGGAAACCGUGACGGGGUCACCCCGAGUGCCACCCGAAGAGGGUGGCUUUUCCCCGGUCUAAAAAGCCGGGGGUAAUAAGCGGGGGGCAAGUCUGGUGUCAGCCGCCGCGGUAAUACCAGCCCCGCGAGUGGUCGGGACGUUUAUUGGGCCUAAAGCGUCCGUAGCCGGCCCAGUAAGUCCCUCCUUAAAUCCAUGGGCUCAACCCGUGGGCUGGGAGGGAUACUGCCGGGCUAGGGAGCGGGAGAGGCCGAGGGUACUCCCGGGGUAGGGGCGAAAU
rnacentral:rRNA from 1 species